UGUUUAGAAAUAUGUUUGGCUUUAUUUAGCAAGUAUUUAAUGAGCUUUAUAUGUACUUCUCUAGGUACUAUAGUUGGAGUAUAUUAGAGAACAAUAAAGACACGGGUAGUCUAGUAGGACUGGUAAUCUGGUAGUCUAAUGAUAGCAGAUUACCUUUUAGUGGGGAAAACACCCCUGAUCUUUGCUUGUUUGCUCUCUUGUCUUCUCCUCUCCCCUCCUUGUUGAAGCUGUAGUGCUUCUGGUCAAACCCAGGGCCUUAUUCAUGUUAGACAAGUGCUCUACAUUGAGCUGCACCUCCAGCCCCAUGCGUCUUUUUUCUAUGAAUGCUUUGUAAACCAGGAGAAAAAACAGCCUGAAGUACUAACCUACUUUUAUUUUAAUAGAUUGAGGAACUUCAGCAAGCUUUAACGGUAAAACAGAAUGAAGAGCAAGACCGACAGAAGAGAAUAAGUAAUACUCGCAAAAUGAUAGAGGAUUUACAUAAUGAACUAAGGACUACAGAAAACUGUGAGAAUCUUCAGCCUCAGAUCGAUGCCAUUACCCAUGACCUGAGACGAGUUCAAGAUGAAAAGGCAUUAUGUGAAGGCGAGAUAAUUGAUAAACAAAGGGAGAAGGAAACGCUAGAGAAAGAGAAAAAGUGUGUGGGUGAGCAUAUUAUACGUUUUGACAAUCUUAUGAAUCAGAAAGAAGAUAAGCUGAGACAGAGAUACCGGGACACAUAUGAAGCUGUUUUAUGGCUGAGAAGUAACAGAGACAAAUUUAAGAAAAGAGUUUGUGAGCCCAUAAUGCUUAUGGUAAGAAAUUUUACUUACCUUCAUAAAAUCUUUUGGUUUUAUUAUUGCAGUGAUUGUAAAUUUUUGUAAUGUUAAGAAUUCUCAACUCUUUUAACACCUUUUCUCUUCUGGACUUGUGACAUCUCUGGCAUAGGGCUGAGUGAGGUUUACAAAAGUCUUGUGAUUAGUGAGGGUAGGUAAUUAUCAAAACUGUGAAUGUUUUUCCAGAAAAAAGAUCACGUGAAACUGACAGCUUACCCUCCA
rnacentral:lncRNA from 1 species